UACGUAGGGGGCAAGCGUUGUCCGGAAUUAUUGGGCGUAAAGAGCGCGUAGGCGGUCCGGUAAGUCGGCUGUGAAAGUCAAGGGCUCAACCCUUGAAAGCCGGCCGAUACUGCCGGACUAGAGUCCGGAAGAGGCGAGUGGAAUUCCCGGUGUAGCGGUGAAAUGCGCAGAUAUCAGGAGGAACACCGGUGGCGAAGGCGGCUUGCUGGGCCUUACCUGACGCUGAGGAGCGAAAGCGUGGGGAGCGAACAGG
rnacentral:rRNA from 1 species